AGAGUUUGAUUCUGGCUCAGGAUGAACGCUAGCGGCAGGCUUAAUACAUGCAAGUCGAGGGGCAGCAGGGGUAGCAAUACCCGCUGGCGACCGGCAAACGGGUGCGGAACACGUACGCAACUUUCCUUCAACUGAGGAAUAGCCCAGGGAAACUUGGAUUAAUACCUCGUAAUAUUAUGAAAUGGCAUCAUUUUAUAAUUAUAGCUCCGGCGGUUGAAGAUGGGCGUGCGCCUGAUUAGGUAGUUGGCGGGGUAACGGCCCACCAAGCCUACGAUCAGUAACUGGUGUGAGAGCACGACCAGUCACACGGGCACUGAGACACGGGCCCGACUCCUACGGGAGGCAGCAGUAAGGAAUAUUGGGCAAUGGACGCAAGUCUGACCCAGCCAUGCCGCGUGGAGGAUGAAGGUCCUCUGGAUUGUAAACUUCUUUUAUUUGGGAAGAAACCCAUAUUUUCUAAUGUGGUUGACGGUACCAGAUGAAUAAGCACCGGCUAACUCCGUGCCAGCAGCCGCGGUAAUACGGAGGGUGCAAGCGUUAUCCGGAUUCACUGGGUUUAAAGGGUGCGUAGGUGGGCAGGUAAGUCAGUGGUGAAAUCUCCGGGCUUAACCCGGAAACUGCCGUUGAUACUAUCUGUCUUGAAUAUCGUGGAGGUUAGCGGAAUAUGUCAUGUAGCGGUGAAAUGCUUAGAUAUGACAUAGAACACCGAUGCGAAGGCAGCUAACUACACGAUCAUUGACACUGAGGCACGAAAGCGUGGGGAGCAAACAGGAUUAGAUACCCU
rnacentral:rRNA from 1 species